rnacentral:rRNA from 1 species
GAUGAACGCUGGCGGCGUGCUUAACACAUGCAAGUCGAACGGGAAAUAUUUCAUUGAGACUUCGGUGGAUUUGAUUUAUUUCUAGUGGCGGACGGGUGAGUAACGCGUGGGUAACCUGCCUUAUACAGGGGGAUAACAGUCAGAAAUGGCUGCUAAUACCGCAUAAGCGCACAGAGCUGCAUGGCUCAGUGUGAAAAACUCCGGUGGUAUAAGAUGGACCCGCGUUUGAUUAGCUAGUUGGUGGGGUAACGGCCCACCAAGGCGACGAUCCAUAGCCGGCCUGAGAGGGUGAACGGCCACAUUGGGACUGAGACACGGCCCAGACUCCUACGGGAGGCAGCAGUGGGGAAUAUUGCACAAUGGGGGAAACCCUGAUGAAGCGACGCCGCGUGAAGGAAGAAGUAUCUCGGUAUGUAAACUUCUAUCAGCAGGGAAGAUAGUGACGGUACCUGACGAAGAAGCCCCGGCUAACUACGUG